AGUGAACGCUAGCGGUAGGCCUAACACAUGCAAGUCGAACGGCAGCACAGUCAGAGCUUGCUCUUACGGGUGGCGAGUGGCGGACGGGUGAGGAAUAAAUCGCAAUCUUCUUUUUCGGGGAGGUUAACGUAGGGAAACUUACGCUAAUACCGCAUACGACCUACGGGUAAAAGCAGGGGAUCUUCGGACCUUGCGCGAUUGAAUGAGCGGAUUUCGAAUUGGUUGGUUGGCGGGGUAAUGGCCAACUAAGUCGACGAGCCGUAGCUAGACUGAGAGGAAGAUCAGCCACACGUGUAAUAGGACACGCAGCAGACUCCGAAGGGAGGCACCAGUGGGGAAUAUUCGAGAAUGAGCGGAAGCCUGUUCUAGCCAUACCGCGUGAGUGAAGAAGGCCUUCGGGUUGUAAAGCCCUUUUGUUGGGAAAGAAAAGCAGCAGGGUAAUACUCCGAGGUUCUGACGGUACCCAAAGAAUAAGAACCGGCUAACUUCGUG
rnacentral:rRNA from 1 species